CCGAGAGCCGUCAGCGGGCGCCGGCCGCGGGCUGCGGAGGACGGGGAGGAGGCGCGGGGGAGCGGGCGGCUCCGACCCAGCGUGCGAACAGCCGGGCGCUACGCGGCCUCUCGCACCUCCAGGAGUGGAGCACCCACCACCUCUCCAGGCAUGGACCUUGUAACUUCCAAAAGUGGGUAGAACAUCUCCCUGCUACACACUGAAGGUUGUGUUUCAGAAGAUUAGGGUUUCUUUGCAAGUACAAGGAUCCUUCUCUUCUCUUGGUACGACCAGGACUGUUAGAUGAAAAGCAGCUGUGGGCUGAGCCGGAGCACAGCCUGGGCUGGUCUUCUUUGUGCAUAGCAUCAACUUUAGUGCCUCGGCUGCUCAGUCCCCAAUGAGUCAGGGAUAAAUACUCCUUGGUUCCUCUCCUGAGCAGUGCAAAGUUUUAUUGUGCUACAUUUGAGCAGCGCUUUGAAGAUGCAAAGCCGUAGCAUUACAGUUUGUUUCAACAUGAGUGCCAAUAAAACGAAGUCUGUGUACUACAAAGCAGUAUUACAAAGGGGGUUUGUAACAAUAUAUGCAGAAUAUUAUUUCCAUUGUAGGAGAGGUGCUCAGAAUCCUCUCCAGCAGCAAAUCCUACGUAAAUUACAAAACCUUUUCCAAGAUGCUCUAUAAAUACAUAAACCUUGUAGGCUGAGAUGAGUGGUAGACUGUUAGCCAAUCUGCCCUGCAGCAGGCCAGGAAAGUAGUUAGUAGAUAGUUAGACCUUAUCUCUGAACUCAAAAGAUACAGAUGAAGCAUGCAUACAAAACAUGCCGAUAUCAUUUUCAAUCUGCAAACCAGUGUCCAGCAUGGACUGUGUCUGUGUUCUGCUUUUAGCUUUCUUAUAAUUGAGUCUAAUCUGGCUGAGAUACAGCACAUCAUCAUCCCCCUACGCCUUGUACGCUCUAAAAAGGGUCAUGAGUAUUUUCUUAGGUAUGUGCAUUCUCAAAGCCUCAUUAGAGGUAGCACUAAUAUUUACUUGUUUGCAUUUCAAAUGAAAAGGAGUCUAUUUAAUAGCAUCAGUGGUUUGGUCAAUAUUGGCAUAGUCCCAGUGCUGAGUGGAAAGUUGGAUGGUGUUUUUAUGAGCCUCAGCGCUGUACAUAGUGCUGCAGCUUUUCUUGGGAGGCUGUGCUUUGUGCUGCUAUGCUGUGAGCAGGGCUGCAGAGGAGGAGCAGUCAGCAGAGCUGCCUGCUAUAAUCUCAGGCUGAUCCCUGAAUUAGGUGCUGGAAGUGCCUUCAGCCUUUACUCCUCAUCAUGGUUGUCACCCAAAACAGCUUGUCUAUCCUUGGCCUGUUAAACAUCUUCUCUUCCUCCUUCUGCUCCACCUUCAAAUCCUCAGCUCCCUGUGGGAACCCCCAGUUUUUGCCCCUUACCUGCCACACCAAUGCUGUCUGUAGAACAGCUCAUAUUUGUUUGGCAGCAUCUGCUUGCUGUGACUAUAAUUUUCCAUUCCAGAGAUGUGGUUUGCUGGAAAGAGCAUUUAUUCAUUCGCUGAUACUCCUGCAAAAGCAUGCUAUGAAUGAUGCUGCUUACAUAGUUUCCUGUGGCAGUCAUCACAAUAUCUUGCCGACAGAAGCCUUAUUUUUUUCUUAAAAGAGCUCUGAGGAAGGGAAGUGCACUGAUUGCUCUGUUAGAGAUGGAAAAGCUAAAGCAGGGAAGCAAGAUGACUUGCUCUAGAAGUAUGUGGAGGAAGAGUGGGAGAGAAAAUCCCACAUGCCGAAGAAGGAAUUAAUCCAGACUGCAGAAAGCACGGAAGAUGACUCAGUUGCAGAGGAUAAAAGAUUGGAAGGCAAAGGAAAGCUGCCCAGAGCUCUGGAUGGAUGUGAGAUGUGCUUUCUGAAAUGACUCACAAGCCAUCAUCUGCACAUACGCAGCCAAAAGGAAAACCAGUGUCUGAGCUGGGCUAGGACAUAUCUGUGAGAAAAUAAGGAGUGAGUUACAAGGUCAUUUCUUCUUGGCUUGAGUGCUCUGCUGGGCAGCACGCUUAGAGGAGAGCUGCCUGCUUACAGAGAAUCGGAAUUCAAACCUCAGAGCUAAACAUCCUCUCUUGGAUCGACAGUUCUGUUCACAGUAGGGGUUGCAGGGCAGGGUCACUGGACAAAGGUGGUUACUUUGCUACCGAAAGCUCUCCAUUUCCACCUAGUAACCCCUGCUGUUUUACACCUACUGUAUACUACUCUGCUUAAACUACCACUAUUGCACGUGUUACUGUUCAUCAUUUAAUCUUUUUAAUCUUCAAAAGUGAUGGCAAAAUAGUCCUGCCAGAAUGUAUUCCCAAGAGCUCUUACUGUUGAGCUUUUUGCACCAGCGAUCCAAUGGCAGACAUUUAGGGGUAUGCACAUUGCUGUCGCCUCUAUGUAUAAAACCAAGAACAAAGUGGGAAAGGAAGGAUUAGCAUUAGCAGUGACUCACCUGAGCAAUUGUCAUCUCACUGGGAUCGGGUAGACUUGGCAAAGAAACAUUUGGUAAAGCUCCAGGCAUUUCCAAGGAAGUUACCCUUGUAAAGAGUUAGGGAAGGAUAAUAACCAUCAGGAAAAGGGAACUCAGCAACGUUGGGUUUGGAAAUGAGUCCAUUUUCAGGACAUGUUUUGCAGGGAAGGUUGACUGAUAGACUCAGGGAGCCCCCAUUUCAACCUUGCAUUAGAUCUAAACAGAGUUCAUUUCAUGCAUGAGGUAUCUGGAACUUGUGUUUUCAGCUCAGAGUGGAGGUGCUGCUGCUGCACUUUGCUGCUGCUCUUUGUCUUCUGCUAAAAGUGAAAAGGAAGAAUGCUUGCCUCCCUCUUCUUCACAAAGCUGUACCUGUUCCAUGCCUGCUUCCACAGUGCUCCCAGUUACUUCCCAGUUUGUGCACUGGCACCUCUCACAACCAGAGCCUGGAAUGGCGACUGAAAUGUGCUCUCCAAAUACCUUCAUAUAAUACACUGCUUCUACUUGACGUGAAGCAGCUGCCCUUUCUGGUAUUCACAGCUUUCUGACAGAGGCAUUUACUAAUUUUCUUAACAAAAAUAACCCUCCCCUUUCAGAGUCAGUUUUAAUUUACCUCGGCUCUGCCGCCAGAUUUCCUCUGGAUGCCGGUGGGAGGUGAAAUAAACUUCUAGAAAUAAAGACUCUUCGUGUAGCUUAUCCAAUAAAACGUAAGUAAAACAUAGUGUUAAAGAUGGCAUUUUUUACAUGAAAGGCAUCCUUCCAAGCAGCUCGAGGUGCAGUGAAUAUGAACCCUUGAAGCUGGCAAAUACCCAAGUUAACUCAGCAUUCAGGUAGCUGAACACCCCUCUUUGAAACUUGUCUGAGGGAGAAACUGAUGCUCUGCAAAGAGAACUAGCUUUAUUGCUUCAGGUUGCACAGAAGUUAGAGAUGUCACUGCGUAGCCACAGCAUUCACUGAGCUACCUCUACCUGUUGGGUUAAUGGGCAAGAACUGCUGGCCAGUUCUCAAAUCCUUGAUCUAUUUUGCAACCAUUUUGGCAACAGCUUUGGCAGCUUUUGGCACCCCAUCCUCCCCAGAGAUGAGUUUCCCCCCAUCCAGCCAUGCUGGGUAGUGCUCUUGGGGUCACACAGUGCUGCAGAGCCAUUUGAGCCUUCAGGUGAUGGGGAGGGCUGUACCCUGGCUUCCUUUUUUGUAUUAUUCUGCAUAAUUUAUAGCAGCUCUUGAGCAGGUGGGCAUGCAAAGGAAAUUCAAGAGAUUGCAUGUUUGAAUUAUUUAAACACUUUAAUUAAUAAAGAGAUCUGGGGUUGAUCCCACCAGAAGUGCUUCACAAAGCCUUUAUGAGUUGCCCAGGAGGGCUUGAGCUGGGUCCCUGAUAAACAGCCUGUCCUGAUGGGGGAAGGUUGGUGGGGAAGCUGGGUUCCCUGUCGGCAUCAAGGCAUUAAGCCUUUGGCCACGGCUCUUCCAUCACAUCUGCAUGGCAGCAGUGCUGGGACAGGGUCUCGGUCAUGUGGGAGCUUGCUCUUAAACCUAUAGGCAUGUGGGAAACUAAAGCCCAGCGCUGGCAAUGUAUCAUAAGAAGCGUGGCUGGUCCUUGUUUAGAAGACUAGUAGAGGGAGGAGAUUCAGUCUUAGAGUGUAACGGGGUCCAGGAUGGCUGGUUGCUCUUCAAGGAGGCCCAGUGCCCUGCAGCCCCAUAGAGUAAGGGAACACUCUGCUGGACACUGGGAGGGUACAGCUCAAUGGGUUCCUACUGACAUUACAAAACCAUGACACAUUGGGAAGAUGCUUUUGAGAGCAUUCCCCUGCUCUGGGCUCCCACUGCUGCUGGGCACUGCCACAAGCUGCCUCAAGCCCCUAUUUUUUAGGCACACAUACAUUAGAGAAGGAAUUUGAGGGAAAAAAUUCUCCAUUGAGAUUGCUGCAAGAAACUAGAAAGAGGUGUGGGAGCAGCGUGAUAUUCUUGGGUUUUGGCAUUCUGAUUUCGUGUCUAUUAAUAAUCCCCCUAGUGAGUCAUACGGAGAUGCAUUUAUGCACUGAGUUGGAGAGAGCUGCUGCCUGAAAUAGCAGCUCUGUAAUUUUUUAUGAUGCUGUAAUGCCAGCACGGUGCAGAUUGACAUCAUUUAGCAGAGCCGCUGGCUGGCAAUCAGCUCACCCGUGUCAGGCCCUGAAAUGAACACAGGAGCCAUGUGCUGUGUUACAUAAACAGCAACAAAAGCCAGCGCCUGUUGGAAGUGCCUCUCUCCCAUUUCCUACAGCUCUCCCUCCUUUUACCCCUUAGCAGAAGCGUAAGCCCCCAUUUCCUUAACUCCUCACGCUUACAAGGACUAACAGCUCCACAUACCUGGCCUUGUGUUUGACACUCACAAAGUGAAGCCAACUUUCCGGUACAGCUUGACCAGAAUAUUUACAUUUUAUUAAAUCUUUACAAUCAGCAGCUAUAAUCAAGUACACAAUUAUGUACACGGAUUAUAUACAUUUUAGCCCAAUCUUUUACAUCACAGUACAUCGUUGCCCUUAAGAAAUAUUGUAUACGCUUACCACCAGACAAGUGAAACCCAACAGAAGUGUUACAGCACCUGUUAGUAGACAUCUUCCAUAAGAAAAAUAGACGGCUAUAAAUCGGGCUGGCUAAAAAGAAAAGAAAGAAAUCCUAUAAAAUCUGAACAUACAAUAUUUCAUUCACAGAAUGUUUCUCUAUGUUCCGAGUGAUGGCUCUGCACACCGUGGCCCGUUACUAACCUCUCACCAAAUGCUUUUCCCCACCAGCAAUGCCUUCAAGAGGAGGAGAAAAAGCUGAGCUCUGCUUUUGACUUCAUUGAGAAACAACGCAUGUAAACAACUGAGAAUAUUCCUCUAAGAUCAAAUCUGAAUUACGUGGCACGGAGUAAGUGUGGGUCCAGCUGGGACUCCUGAAUUCAGUGUUCAAUGCUAUAUAAACCAAUGUGCAACACCUGACAUGAAGGGCAACUGCUGAUGAACAGUGGAUGAGCAGCGCUGCACACCUGGAGCAGACAACCCGGAAUGAACGCUUACUCUCCUCUCCAAAAGAUGAUUGAAAAAAGAUAAUUAAUACAUUCCUUUUGCUUUUUAAGAUGUGAUAGAAAACCAAAACUACUUCCAGCAUGAUAUGAGAAGGUCAACUAACGCCAUCUCCACCCAAGGAAACACCAAAUAAAAACAUCCUGAAUUGAACUGCCCCCCCCACCCUUUCUGCUUUCCAAAGAGGUCACUUCCCUUGAACAGCUCUGUCCACCCGCCCUGCAGCGCUGCAGCUCUCCUGGUCACCUCCAAGCAGAGCAGAACAAAAGCACAGCUCUGGAGGAGAGAAGCGAUGGGCACCUGCGGAUGGCCACCACCAGGCACAGCCACACUGAGUUCACAUCCAGGGAAAGAAGGGCUGGUUGCUGCUUUGGCCAUGGCUGGGGAUGAGCAGCCAGAAUUGAGCUUGUGCUGCCAAGGGAAGCUCAGCUUGUAGGAAAAUUUUACUAUUAACACCUACAUUUUCCGCAGGUUAAAAAAGACGCACCACCAUAAGCUUGCAUUGCAACAUUGGCAGUCUUAACACCAUGAUCAGAGGACCUCAAUACCUAUAAAAUAUAACCCUGCUUCCCCCAAAAGAACUACCAAGCAUGAAGGCGCACGUCCAUGCUGGAGAGAACUGAGAACAGCAGCACUUUGCUGUGGUAUGGGCAGGCAGAGACCUGUGGGGUGACACCCAGCCCACUGCUGGGCUCACAGCUCCAAUAGCAAAGGGCACUUAUGGCUCCUAUGGUCCAACCCCUUCCAUAAAGAAACCCACAUCACGACAACUAAAACACCCACAUAAAUACAAAAUCCCCC